UUCAAUCUAUUGAUAGAGAGAUCAUCAAUUCUAUCUCUUCAAGAUGUCAUCGCAAAAGUUUCAAAAAACUAAUACGUCUAUAGAUCCGAUGAAAAAUAUGCUCUCUUGGGUUUUGUUAUUUGCUUCCUUGUAUUUUCUCUCUUUUUGCCAAGGAAUCAAAUGUUUAAGUUUUCUUUAUGUAAAUCUAAACCACUUUUAUUUUAUAUGAUAUUUACCACUUAGCCAAAAAAAAAAAAAAAAAAAAAA
rnacentral:lncRNA from 1 species